GAUGAACGCUGGCGGCGUGCCUAAUACAUGCAAGUCGAGCGAACGGACGAGAAGCUUGCUUCUCUGAUGUUAGCGGCGGACGGGUGAGUAACACGUGGAUAACCUACCUAUAAGACUGGGAUAACUUCGGGAAACCGGAGCUAAUACCGGAUAAUAUUUUGAACCGCAUGGUUCAAAAGUGAAAGACGGUCUUGCUGUCACUUAUAGAUGGAUCCGCGCUGCAUUAGCUAGUUGGUAAGGUAACGGCUUACCAAGGCAACGAUGCAUAGCCGACCUGAGAGGGUGAUCGGCCACACUGGAACUGAGACACGGUCCAGACUCCUUCGGGAGGCAGCAGUAGGGAAUCGUCCGCAAUGGGCGAGAGCCUGACGGAGCAACGCCGCGUGAGUGAUGAAGGUCUUCGGAUCGUAAAACUCUGUUAUUAGGGAAGAACAUAUGUGUAAGUAACUGUGCACAUCUUGACGGUACCUAAUCAGAAAGCCACGGCUAACUACGUG
rnacentral:rRNA from 1 species